CCUACGGGAGGCAGCAGUGAGGAAUAUUGGUCAAUGGACGAGAGUCUGAACCAGCCAAGUAGCGUGAAGGAUGACUGCCCUAUGGGUUGUAAACUUCUUUUAUAUGGGAAUAAAACAGGGUAUGCAUACCCUCUUGUAUGUACCAUAUGAAUAAGGAUCGGCUAACUCCGUGCCAGCAGCCGCGGUAAUACGGAGGAUCCGAGCGUUAUCCGGAUUUAUUGGGUUUAAAGGGAGCGUAGGUGGAUUGUUAAGUCAGUUGUGAAAGUUUGCGGCUCAACCGUAAAAUUGCAGUUGAAACUGGCAGUCUUGAGUACAGUUGAGGUGGGCGGAAUUCGUGGUGUAGCGGUGAAAUGCUUAGAGAUCACGAAGAACUCCGAUUGCGAAGGCAGCUCACUAGACUGCAACUGACACUGAGGCUCGAAAGUGUGGGUAGCAAACAGGAUUAGAUACCCUUGUAGUC
rnacentral:rRNA from 1 species